rnacentral:rRNA from 1 species
UACGAAGGGUGCAAGCGUUAAUCGGAAUUACUGGGCGUAAAGCGUGUGUAGGCGGUUUCUUAAGUCUGCUGUGAAAUCCCCGGGCUCAACCUGGGAAUGGCAGUGGAUACUGGGAAGCUAGAGUGUGAUAGAGGAUGGUGGAAUUCCCGGUGUAGCGGUGAAAUGCGUAGAGAUCGGGAGGAACAUCAGUGGGCGAAGGCGGCCAUCUGGAUCAACACUGACGCUGAGACACGAAAGCGUGGGGAGCAAACAGG